rnacentral:rRNA from 1 species
AGGGUUCGAUUCUGGCUCAGGAUGAACGCUGGCGGCGUGCUUAACACAUGCAAGUCGAACGAAGCAUUCUAACUCUUCGGAGGAGGAAAUGACUGAGUGGCGGACGGGUGAGUAACGCGUGGGUAACCUGCCUUAUACAGGGGGAUAACAGUUAGAAAUGACUGCUAAUACCGCAUAACCCGCUAGUACCGCAUGGUACAGACGGAAAAGAUUUAUCGGUAUAAGAUGGACCCGCGUCUGAUUAGCUAGUUGGUGAGGUAAUGGCUCACCAAGGCGACGAUCAGUAGCCGGCUUGAGAGAGUGAACGGCCACAUUGGGACUGAGACACGGCCCAAACUCCUACGGGAGGCAGCAGUGGGGAAUAUUGCACAAUAGGGGGGAAACCCUGAUGCAGCAACGCCGCGUGAAGGAAGAAGUAUUUCGGUAUGUAAACUUCUAUCAGUAGGAAAGAAAAUGACGGUACCUGACUAAGAAGCCCCGGCUAACUACGUGCCAGCCGCCGC